rnacentral:misc_RNA from 1 species
AACGAGGCCGACCUGCGGCUGAGUUACCUGCGGAGGGAUCAUUACCUAGAGUUGUAGGCUUUGCCUGCUAUCUCUUACCCAUGUCUUUUGAGUACCUUACGUUUCCUCGGUGGGUUCGCCCGCCGGUUGGACAAAACUUAAACCCUUUGUAGUUGCAAUCAGCGUCUGAAAAAACUUAACAGUUACAACUUUCAACAACGGAUCU